rnacentral:ribozyme from 1 species
AAUUAAAAAAAAAAAAAAAAAAAAAAAAAAUUUUUUUUUUUUUUUUUUUUUUUUUUAAUUG